GCGGAAGUGGCGAAAUUGGUAGACGCGCACGUUUGAGGGGCGUGUGGGGAGACCCGUACGGGUUCAAGUCCCGUUUUCCGCACCA
rnacentral:tRNA from 1 species